rnacentral:rRNA from 1 species
AUUGAACGCUGGCGGCAGGCCUAACACAUGCAAGUCGAACGAGUGGCGGACGGGUGAGUAAUGUCUGGGAAACUGCCUGAUGGAGGGGGAUAACUACUGGAAACGGUAGCUAAUACCGCAUACCAUCGGAUGUGCCCAAAUGGGAUUAGCUAGUAGGUGGGGUAAAGGCUCACCUAGGCGACGACCCCUAGCUGGUAUGAGAGGAUGACCAGCCACACUGGAACUGAGACACGGUCCAGACGCCUACGUGAGGCAGCAGUGGGGAAUAUUGCACAAUGGGCUCAAGCCUGAUGCAGCCAUGCCGCGUGUAUGAAGAAGGCCUUCGGGUUGUAAAGUACUUUAAGUUGGGAGGCGUUACUAACAGAAUAAGCACCGGCUAACUUCGUGCCAGCAGCCGCGGUAAUAC